rnacentral:lncRNA from 1 species
CAAAACACUCUUGAUACCAGUGAAACGAUUAAUGGAGCUGCUUUUUUUGUUUUGUUUUUUAUGUCCACUCCAUCCUUGUUAGUUACAAUGAGCAGUUCUUUGUCCAAACAGAAAGCAUACGUAUUUGGUCGCGCAUAGCCUGCGUACUAAGACCUGUUACCUUGUUAUGGCAGACGCGCCUGAG